UAUUGGUGGUAGGGACAUUGAGAGGAGUAGUAACUUGAAUUGCUCCCAUGCUUCAUGAAUUGGCUCUCCUUCCAUCUGAGAAAAGUACAGAUUUUGUUUCUCAAAUC